CACGUAGGCGGAUAGGUAAGUCAGGUGUGAAAUCCCGGGGCUCAACUCCGGAACUGCAUUUGAUACUGCUUGUCUUGAGUGAGGUAGAGGGGGGUGGAAUUCCCGGUGUAGAGGUGAAAUUCGUAGAUAUCGGGAGGAACACCAGAGGCGAAGGCGACCCCCUGGGCCUCUACUGACGCUGAGGUGCGAAAGCGUGGGGAGCAAACAG
rnacentral:rRNA from 1 species